UUAUUAAUUAUCUCUGUCUUCCUCCUCUGUUUCGAACGUAAUUGGCAUCUUCUUCGUCUUCGUCUUCGUCUUCUUCGUCACCAUUUUCUCUACGAAGAGACAUUUACAUACAAACAUACGAUCAAAGGCUAUCUAUCUAUAUAUAUAUAUAUAAAUCUACACGUUUCAUUUGCUCUCGAGAGUUUGAAGUUUCUCGGAUUGAUUCCUAGAGUUUUGGAAUCUCUAGCACACCAAGAAGACGAUACGUAGACUCUGGAUCUGGUUCCCCCUUUGAAAUUUUCAAGGGUUUGAUGAGAUGAAGGCAGCUAAGAGGUGGAGUCUUGGAAACCUACGGGACAUGGCGUCUUCUUUGCCUGGACCUCGCCACCGCGCUCCUUCAAGGAGACGAGCGCGAGUAUAUAUCAUCAUGGCCCUCUCACUCAUCGCCUUCUUUGCUGUCAUCGCUUACAUGUACCCUCACCACAGCAAACGUGCUUGUUAUAUGAUAUCCUCGAGAGGAUGCAAGGCUUUAGCUGAUUGGCUCCCGCCUUCUCUGAGGGAGUAUUCUGACGAUGAGAUUGCAGCUCGCGUUGUGAUUAGUGAGAUAUUGAGUAAUCCUCCUGUGAUUAGAAAAGAUUCCAAGAUUGCGUUUAUGUUCUUGACUCCUGGUGCGUUGCCUUUCGAGAGGCUGUGGGACAGAUUCUUCCAGGAACAUGAAGGGAAGUUUUCUGUUUAUAUUCAUGCAUCAAAGGAAAGGCCAGUUCACUACAGUCGUUACUUUGUCAACCGUGAGAUUCGCAGUGAUGAGGUGGUGUGGGGAAGAAUAUCAAUGGUUGAUGCAGAGAGACGGUUGUUAGCUAAUGCUCUUAGAGACCCUACAAACCAGCAAUUUGUUUUACUCUCUGAUAGUUGUGUACCUCUUCGAAGUUUUGAAUACAUUUACAACUACCUCAUGUACAGCAACGUCAGCUAUGUUGACUGCUUUGACGAUCUAGGUCAACAUGGGUCAGGCAGGCAUAUGAAUCACAUGCUGCCUGAAAUUCAGAAGAAGGAUUUUCGAAAGGGUGCACAGUGGUUCACCAUGAAGCGACAACAUGCUGUAGCAACUAUGGCAGACAGUCUUUACUACUCCAAGUUCCGGGAUUACUGUGGGCCAGGUAUAGAGAACAACAAGAAUUGCAUAGCUGAUGAACACUAUCUGCCAACAUUCUUUCAUAUGCUUGAUCCCACUGGCAUUUCUAACUGGACUGUAACACAAGUUGAUUGGUCUGAGAGAAAGUGGCAUCCCAAAACAUAUAUGCCUGAAGAUGUCACACACGAGUUACUAAAUAACCUCACGUCUACUGACACAGUCGUACAUGUCACAAGUGUUGGAGUGGGUGAAGAGAUAUGGAUGCCUUGUAUGUGGAACGGAAUCAAAAGACCUUGCUACUUGUUUGGAAGGAAGUUCCACCCGGAUACGCUCGACAAGCUGUUGGAUCUCUUCUCAAAUUACACAAAAUCAGUCUCUUGGCAACUGUGAUUUAAAAGGGUAUAUCUUCUUCUAUACACUCAGAUUCUUUGACCAACGUUCGGUUCCUCAUCCGCAUGACCUUUGAAGAGUAUUCUCAGAAAGAUCCAUAGAAGCUGUAACACUAGAUGUCUAGAAGAAGCUUUAGGAGAUGACCACGUACAAACAAUGACAACUAUCAAGAUUCGACCAAACCUCACCUUGAAAUCUCCAUUAUAUUGUAGCGUUCCAUAUCUGCCGUCAAAAUUAUCGUCAUCUCCUAUCUAAGCUGCGAAAGUAGUAAUACGAAGGUGAGAAGUGCACACUAACUGUUGAAAUGCAGGAGAUACUCUGGACAAGGCAGGCGGAAAACGAAGAUGAGAAGCAGAUUGUCUACAGAUGCUACAACAGUGAGGAGUUUGGUUGGAGAUAAUGCAUUGACGUUGUUGAUAGUGCAAAAAUAUAGACAGUAACCGCAGGUUUGAUAAUAAGCCUUUAGGGUGAAUUGGAUGAACAUAUCCUUGCAUCACCAUAAACGGUGAGACAGCAAGAACCACAAGAGCAAGCUCCCAAUUCGCCGUAAAAGCUAUUAUAAAACCGGCGGUUAGAGUCGCUACAUUUUUGCACUAUCAACGCCAACGUAUCUCCUACCGAACUCCUAUGUUAUUUCAUCAAUAUCACGUGGGCUCUGAAGAUAGCUUGAAAUUGAAUCCUCAGGUUUGAUCUUUCUUCUAUCUCUUUCCUCAGGUUGUUAUCUAUUACUGGUCAUGUCAUCAGUAAGUAUGAUCGCUGAUGGCUGAAGCCUUUUUGAAAUUUUAGAACUACCAAACGUUCAACAGUCCACAGAAAACUCCUUUCAGAAAAAAAGCAGUCGACUUUGAUAGAAAAUGAGCAGAUGAUAGUCAAGAUUUCAACAAAAACAAUGUUAUGUUAGAACGGUUUUCUGAUAUUUUCUCAGAUUGAUAGAUAUUAUCGAUAAUACACUUUUUCUACUUGAUCCCAAGUAUCGAAUAUAUCAAACCGACACACCAAAUAGGACAAAAACGAAAGCUGAAUCCACAGCUUCACAAUUUCUCACGUAAGAAAAAACAGUUUUAUUAUUCGUCGAUAUCAUGAUUCAGUUAUUUGCCUCUAUCAAGUGCAAAUCAAAAGAAAGGGUUCAACAAUAUCCCGGAAAAUUUCAAGAAAAAGAAAACAAUAAGA